rnacentral:rRNA from 1 species
AGGAUUAACGCUGGCGGCGUGCCUAACACAUGCAAGUCGAACGAGGUAGCAAUACCUAGUGGCAGACGGGUGAGUAACGCGUGGUCAACCUACCGUUGAGUGGGGGAUAACUAGCCGAAAGGUUAGCUAAUACCGCAUACGUGUCCGAGGGGCAUCCCUUGGCCAUAAAAGGAGCAAUCCGCUCGAUGACGGGACCGCGUCCCAUUAGCUAGAUGGUGGGGUAACGGCCUACCAUGGCACCGAUGGGUAGCUGGUUUGAGAGAGCGACCAGCCACACUGGGACUGAGAAACGGCCCAGACUCCUACGGGAGGCAGCAGUGAGGAAUUUUCCGCAAUGGGCGCAAGCCUGACGGAGCGACGCCGCGUGUGGGAAGAAGGCCUUCGGUCGUAACCACUGUCGAAGGGGAAGAUAAUGACGGUACCUUGGAGGAAGCCCGGCUAACUACGUGCCAGCAGCCGC